rnacentral:rRNA from 1 species
AACGAACGCUGGCGGCAUGCCUAACACAUGCAAGUCGAACGAGACCUUCGGGUCUAGUGGCGCACGGGUGCGUAACGCGUGGGAAUCUGCCCUCUGGUUCGGAAUAACUCAGGGAAACUUGAGCUAAUACCGGAUAAUGACUUCGGUCCAAAGAUUUAUCGCCAGAGGAUGAGCCCGCGUCGGAUUAGCUAGUUGGUGAGGUAAAAGCUCACCAAGGCGACGAUCCGUAGCUGGUCUGAGAGGAUGAUCAGCCACACUGGGACUGAGACACGGCCCAGACUCCUACGGGAGGCAGCAGUGGGGAAUAUUGGACAAUGGGCGAAAGCCUGAUCCAGCAAUGCCGCGUGAGUGAUGAAGGCCUUAGGGUUGUAAAGCUCUUUUACCCGGGAUGAUAAUGACAGUACCGGGAGAAUAAGCCCCGGCUAACUCCGUGCCAGCCGCCGCUGUAAUAC